AAAAUUAAAGCUUCUUAACAACAACAAUAGUAAUGGAGAAUAACAAGAACAACAGUAAUGGACCAAAGCAACAACAAGAAGAAGAAGAACAACAAAAAUAAUAAUAUACCAGAGGAUAAUAGCGAGAGAGUUUUUUCGUUCGCUAGGGCUCCUUGGAGAAUAAGUGUUCUAUUGUUGGAUGGAGAAGAAGUGUUCUUUCG
rnacentral:lncRNA from 1 species